rfam:Gossypium raimondii chromosome 13, whole genome shotgun sequence.
AUAUUAUGGUGUGGAAACUUUCUCAGCAACAGUUUGAAAUGUUCCCAUGCAUCAUAGAAGCUCUUCCCCUUGAUAUGUUUAAAAUCAGCAAUAUCACACCUCAGUUG